UACGUAGGGACCGAGCGUUGUCCGGAUUCAUUGGGCGUAAAGAGCUCGUAGGCGGCCACUCAAGUCGAAUGUGAAACCUCGAGGCUCAACCUCGAGCCUGCAUUCGAUACUGGGCGGCUAGAGUCUGGUAGGGGAGUCGUGGAAUUCCUGGUGUAGCGGUGGAAUGCGCAGAGUAUCAGGAGGAACACCGGUGGCGAAGGCGGGAUCCGUGGGCCAGUACUGACGCUGAGGAGCGAAAGCGUGGGAGCAAACAGG
rnacentral:rRNA from 1 species